CCGUGGCGCAGUGGAAGCGCGCAGGGCUCAUAACCCUGAUGUCGUUGGAUCGAAACC
rnacentral:tRNA from 1 species